UCUAACCGCCCCCACUCCCAGCUCCUGCUACUCAUCAAACUUGCUAAUGGCAAGAUAAGUUACCAAGAUGAGCUAAACCCAAAUCUGACCAGGUCAGCAAAGAAUUUUUCUCAGUUAAGAAUUGCAAGGUUAGUGUCAAAUUAGAGAUAGGUAAGCAAAUCAUAAUUUCCCAAAUACUUAUCGAUCAAUUGUUAGCUUGUAACUAAACAAGGUGAUUUCCAUUUUUACAAAAAUAUCCACCAUUCAAAAUAUAUGGAUAUCACUCAUAAUAUGUAGAACUAGCCACCUAAUAAGAAAUUAAAGAUUUUUGUGUGUUUGUAAAUGUUUUGACUAUUUGAUUGUAUGUUGUAUGUAUUUAACAUUUACAUUAUACAUAGAUAUACAUGCUUGUACUUUGAGUACAGGUUAUUGCUUUGACUUUAGGUGUAGCAUUAAAAAUACUUGACAGACAAAAAAAAAUCUGUUUCUUUGAUAUAUCACAAUGAUUAAAUAGAGUUCUGUGCAAAUAGAAAUCUUAAAAUUUGUUUUCACAAAGCAAAAAUUAGGUAAAGAAAAUAGAAGCUGCUGUUCAUAGUAAUACUUUGCCUUAUAACCAGUUAAUUUUUGCAUCGUCUGUACGACUGAAGGUUAGGUUGGAAAUGUAAGUGCCUAAGUUCCCUGUUCAGUUACCUAUUUCCAGUUUGUUUAUUACUUUACAUAUCUGUUCAUUUAGAUAAUUAUCUGACACCUGCUCAUGGCAGAUUGUUUUGACAGAUUAUAUUGGCUGAGAUCAGUUUGUCACCUGCCAUCUGUCCAGUAAAGGAUAUGGGAUCUUUUGGUGGCAAAGAGACACAUGCGUCAGAAGAGAUAUGUUCAGGCAUCAUCAGACCAUGGAUAACUUAAAUCCUUGCCACAGGUGUCUGUAUUCCAGAGUCAACAUGCGUAUGAAAAUGAGAAAACACAGAACAGUACAGAACAGAACAAUCUGGCUUCACAUAAUUAAAAAAAAAAAAAAUAGAAAAAAAAA